UACGUAGGUGGCAAGCGUUGUCCGGAUUUACUGGGCGUAAAGAGCGCGCAGGCGGUCGUACAAGUCGCGUGUGAAAGCCCCCGGCUCAACUGGGGAGGGUCACGCGAUACUGUUCGACUCGAAGGCAGGAGAGGGAAGCGGAAUUCCCGGUGUAGUGGUGAAAUGCGUAGAUAUCGGGAGGAACACCAGUGGCGAAGGCGACUUCCUGGCCUGUUCUUGACGCUGAGGCGCGAAAGCUAGGGGAGCAAACGGG
rnacentral:rRNA from 1 species